CUAAAUCAAUGGAGAGAGAGAGGGAGAGAGAGAUUUCUUUUCUUUUCUUUAUUUACAUGUAUAUCUGAACAUUGAUUACAAUUCAGAUACUGGAUUUGUGAGUUGAAAUUAAUCAAAUGAGAGUGGUAAAAAUUCACCUUUAUAUCGUAUAAUUUAUCCAGGUACGUUAUUCUGGUGUGUGGAAUGCUAAUUGAUACUAAGUUAGAAUAAUCUAAGCUGUAUACCAAAGUAGGUCUUCAUGGAGCUUUACGGUUCUAUGCAUCGCAAAUAGAGAUCGGGUUCAAUGCGUCGGGUGUGGGAUUCACUCAAUAUUAUAUGCUGAGCGCGAAAGUUGAUAUCAACAGACGCCAUGAUGUUAUACCGGUAAACAUCUUGAACAUGAAUCGAGAACAGGAGUUGAUGCAGAUAUUCUGAGGAGAAUCUUCCAAUCAUUGAAAUAUAUUUCAUGAUAGUCGUGAAGAUACAGAAGUUGUGAUGGUGUGUUGAUAGGCUGUCUUCAACUUGCCAUAUCUGAGAGUUCCAACAUGCAGGCCUGGAUUAAUGUUUUAUCACAACAAAUGGAUGGGACAGUAGAGUUGUUGCGGACAAUAUGUGAUUGUGAUGACCAAGUACUGAACAAGUGGAAGAUUAGAAGAAGGUCCAGAAUUCAAUCAUGUUUUUGAUUCUAAGGCGCAGACAGCAUGGAGAUAGUCCUAUUAUUCUCCCAUUCAUCUAUGAUGGAGAAACUUGUGUAAAUGUUUACAGUGUUCUCCCUAAUAAAGGCCCACAAGUCUUUAUUAAUUUAUCAGAAUAUAAAGUCCUUCACAGUACUCAGAAGUACUGACUUUAAAAUUCAUGUAGAUUGUCUCCAGAUUUUUCUGAGGAAAAGUGCAUAGUUCACAUGUGUGAAUUUUGAAUAUAUUUCAUUCUUGUCUGCAAAUGUUGCUGAAACCUGUUAUUGAUGCACAAUGCACAUAGUCAUGUUAUGCAAAUGAUAGACCUCCUUUUUAAUUACAUGUCCUUAAGAUCAUGUCAACUCCUUUGUCUUAAUUGUAUAUAUACAAUUCUAGCAUUUAUAGCAUCAUUUGUAUAGCACUUGCUAGUUUAAUAAGGAUUUUAUUUUUUAAAAACUUUCAUUUGACAUGAUUGAUCUAAAACGGCCAAAAUUCACAAAUCUAUUUAAAUCACAACCUGACCUUAGGCCAGAAAAGUGCCACAGUGGGUUGAUAUUUUUCUCUUUGAUCUUGAAAGAAAUUCUUUAUGCAGCAGUUUCCAAAUAAAAUGUACUCUCAUGGCCAGGGUGGGACUUCACCGAGAACUUUUUAACAUUGCACAAUGCAAUAUUUGUGGAUUAGAAGCUGUUGCAGUUUCUUUAAGUUUUCUCUCGCAUCUUGUUAUAAUUAUAUUUUAUAUUUUUGGUCGGGUUGCACAAUGUGCAAACAGUUUAUAAAAUGCUGAAUGACUGGUGGGCAAGCGACAAUAGCGUCCCUGUAAUAGUACCUACUUUGUGUAAUCAACUCCUUUCACACCUCUCACUUGAUGUUCCUCAAACUUUGUACAGUUGUUAGGGAUACAUCGAAGAUGUGCAAAUACCUUUUUGAAAGUGAUCAGACAUUUUUUGAAAAAUUUACAUGUAGUUAAACUUCCUCAUUUUUUAAGCAUUUCUUUAAUCGACAGUAUCUAUUUUGUGUAAUCAACUCCUCGUAUACCUCUAAUUUGACAUUCCUCAAACUGUGUACAGUUGUUAUGAAUACAUUGAAGAUGUGCAUAUGUGUUUUUGAAAGUGAUCAGACAUUUUAAAAAAAAAAAUGUACAUGUAGUUGAACUUAAGUCAUUUUAAAGCAUUUCUUGAAUAGAUGGUAACUAUUUUGUGUAAUCAAAUCCUCAUGCACCUCUAACUUGACAUUCCUUAAAAUUUGUACAGUUGUUAUGAACACAUUGAAGAUGUGCAUGUGUCAUUUUGAAAAUGAUUAGACUUUUUUUUUUUUUUUUAUUAUGUGUAGUUGAACUUGUUAUUUUUUUAUGCAUUUCUUGAAUAGAUGGUACCUAUUUUGUGUGAUCAACUCGUGCACAUCUAAAUUGAUAUUCCUCAAACUUUGUACAGUAGUUAUGGACACAUUGAAGAUGUGCAUGUGUCUUUUUGAAAGUGAUCAGACUUUUUUCAAAAAAAUUACAUUUAGUUGAACUUUGUCAUUUUUAUAAAGCAUUUCCUGAAUAGUUGGUACCUAUUUUUUGUAAUCAACUCCUCUUACAGCAUUUAUUUGACAUUCUUCAGACCUUGAACAGCUGUUAUGGAAGCAUUGUAAAUGUGCAUGUGUCUUUUCGGAAGUGAUCAGGCAUUCUUUGAAAAAUUUACAUGUGCAUGGUGAAGUUGAACUUAGUCAUUUUUGAAGCAUGGUACUUUAUGUAACCAACUCAUCUUUUACUUAACAUUUUCCAAACCCUGUACAUUAUAGAUGUUAUAAAAACAUUGAAGAUUUACAUCUAACAUUUUAAAAAUGUUUCUCUCUUCUUUUUUUUGUUGUUGAAAAAUUCUACCUUUAAUUUGUCAUUUUUCCAGUAUGUUUCUACUGUUGUUCCUAUGAUAGAUAACAUAUUUUACAAGAACCUGGUCAUUUCUGUUUUUGAAUCUCUCUUUUUUUUAAUUAGUAUUUUUGAAUAUGUUAAUUACUUGAUAUGUCAUUGUUCUUGAAAUUAUAUUAAUUGAAUUAU